CCCUACGGGGGGCAGCAGUGGGGAAUAUUGCUCAAUGGGGGAAACCCUGAAGCAGCAACGCCGCGUGAAGGAAGAAGGCCUUCGGGUUGUAAACUUCUUUGAUUGGGGACGAAGAAGACGGUACCCAAGGAACAAGCCACGGCUAACUACGUGCCAGCAGCCGCGGUAAUACGUAGGUGGCAAGCGUUGUCCGGAAUUACUGGGCGUAAAGGGCGUGUAGGCGGGGAAGAAAGUCGGAAGUGAAAUCCCAUGGCUUAACUGUGGAGCUGCUUCUGAAACUUCUUUUCUUGAGUGCUGGAGAGGAAAGUGGAAUUCCAAGUGUAGCGGUGAAAUGCGUAGAGAUUUGGAGGAACACCAGUGGCGAAGGCGGCUUUCUGGACAGUAACUGACGCUGAGGCGCGAAAGCGUGGGGAGCAAACAGGAUUAGAUACCCCGGUAGA
rnacentral:rRNA from 1 species